CCUACGGGUGGCUGCAGUGGGGAAUAUUGGACAAUGGGGGCAACCCUGAUCCAGCAAUGCCGCGUGGAUGAAGAAGGUCUUCGGAUUGUAAAGUCCUUUCGGCGGGGACGAUGAUGACGGUACCCGCAGAAGAAGCCCCGGCUAACUUCGUGCCAGCAGCCGCGGUAAUACGAAGGGGGCUAGCGUUGCUCGGAAUGACUGGGCGUAAAGGGCGCGUAGGCGGUUUGAUCAGUUAGGCGUGAAAUUCCUGGGCUCAACCUGGGAGCUGCGCUUGAUACGGUCAGGCUUGAGUGUGGAAGAGGGUCGUGGAAUUCCCAGUGUAGAGGUGAAAUUCGUAGAUAUUGGGAAGAACACCGGUGGCGAAGGCGGCGACCUGGUCCAUUACUGACGCUGAGGCGCGAAAGCGUGGGGAGCAAACAGGAUUAGAUACCCCUGUAGUC
rnacentral:rRNA from 1 species